rnacentral:rRNA from 1 species
UACGUAGGGGGCGAGCGUUGUCCGGAGUUACUGGGCGUAAAGCGCACGCAGGCGGUCUGCUAAGUUUGGAGUGACAGUUGGUGGCUUAACUGCCAAAGUGCUUCGAAAACUGACAGACUUGAGGGCUUCAGAGGGACACGGAAUUCCGGGUGGAGUGGUGAAAUGCGUAGAGAUCCGGAGGAACACCAAAGGCGAAGGCAGUGUCCUGGGGAGUACCUGACGCUCAGGU